CUCUUCCCUCCCAUCUCCAAGGGAUUGCCAUGGGGAGGCUGCUCUGGUGCAGGUGGCUGAGCACAGCUCACCCCAGGAUUGCUGCCUGCUGGGGCCUUUCUCAGGCCCUGUUCUCCCCGUGGAUCGAGACCCUUGAUUGAGGGAAAAUCAAACCUGUGGCUGGCUGAGGGAAAAGUGAGCUCCAGAUCUUCACAGCCUUUAGAAUCCCCGAAUGGUUUGGGUUGGAAGGAACCUUAAAGCCCAAGUUCCAGACCCCUGCCAGUUCACCUCCCACUAGACCAGGCUCCUAGACCAGAAACACUUUAUGUUUCACCAAUAAAUAUCCCAUUUGCAGAUAUACUGGAUAACACCUUUAUCCUUUUGCAGACCCCUAUAUCCCAAAUAUUUGUUGUUUCUCAGUGGAGCUGAUGGUUUCCUUCCACAAAACCCUUCAUUCUGCUUUCAGUAUAAUUUGAUUUUCUUGGGUUUUUUUGUGUUUUCAUUUAUAUUUUCUUUUUAAAAACCAACCAAAACCCUCUGGUGCUUGAAGGCAAGAUGUGUCCUCGCUGCAGAGCUGGGAUUACAGCAGAGCAUAGUGAUGAUCUGAACCAGAUCUCACCAGGGAUUUGAAGUCCCAUUAGAGACUCUUGGGCUGGGGCAGACGAGCCCAGAGGGAGAAAUUUUGGGUGAAGGAACUCAAGGAGCAGCAUGACAUCAAUGUGGGCAGUGCUGCUGUUCUUUUUGGCUUUGGGAUGGUGCUGUUUUAGGAUUUUUAGGCUGUUGAGCAGCAGGAACAGGCUGGGCUUUGAUGGUUUGUGUUGAUUCACUUAAAUAAGAAAUCUCAUUCAAACAGAACCUCACAGCUCUCUGAGUUUCAGCUUCUGUUUCACUCAGGUCUCCUGGGAAUUUUCUCUGGAGCUGUGCAGAUGUUUGCAUGACCACAGGAAGUACCCUGUCCUUAAAUAUCCAGUGUGCUGUGACUGUGGAUGGGUCCCAGAUAAUGGCACUGCUCACAGGACUGGUGAUCUGACAGCACAUGAGGGAAACGAGUCAGCCAAAACAAGAGCUUGGGAGCUGAAAGUGACUCUGGGGGGGUUGGACAGGGCCACCCUGGUCCCCUCCCAUGGUGGCCAGAAAGGACAGGGAUGGAUUGGAUUCCUGCAGCUGGAGGAAUUCCCGUUAUCCUGGGAAAUCUGUCCCUUUGACUUCUGUCCCCAGUGCAAGAAGAAGAGUAAAAUAAUUUCAGAGAAGCAUGUAAAAUGUUCUAAAGGCCCUCAAGAAGCAUCAAAUCCAGGUGCUGCCACAUGUUUAUGUGUAUUGGUGAUGCAGGGGGGAGAAAGGGCCAAGAAUCAGAUUUAAAAAACAUUUUUAGAAAUGAUUGUUUUAUUAUAUACAACAGGAAGUAUAAAAAUAAAUAUUUUUUUUUUGGUCACUGU